UUUUUUAAUUCCUCUUCAUCCCAUUGACUCUAUUCAGCUUUUGCUUAAGAUGAGCAAGGAAAAACCAAACCACUCCGCUCUAUAUGUGCAAACGGACCUUCCUUGGAGAAAAGUAAAACAAACAAAAUCCCUUUUACCUGCAGUAGAAGAUAGUGCGCUAAAUUAUCCACCCCACCCCCCCGUCCUAUAUGGAAUGCAGCUGUAAUUAAUUGAAAAUUGUGGGAAGAGAUGCGUGUGAACGUAAUAGAUAAGGUCGGUCGGGUUGACAGGACACCUCGUUCCUGCUCAUCACGGGUGGAAUCGUUUUCUCCAGCUGGGAUGGGUGGUGGUGCGGGUCUCGCAGAGGAGAUUGGGACAAUAGCUGGAGUGGAUUAUUCAUUCCCGUAGGCAAUACUUCCCUGUAUGGGCUUCAGGAUGCAGUUGGAAGCUUGGGAACAAAGCGGGCGUCGAAUGUCAAGGCUUCUUUUGAGGAAGAAAUAGCUCUGCUGGGACCCCAUGCCUGGACUUUGGAGGGCAUGGCGCAGUGCUCUGAUAUGAAAGCACUGUCCCUGCAGAUGGAAACUCUCCUCUGUAUCCUGUGCCUUGCAAGACAGGCAGCGAGGGGACAUUGAAGUAACCAAGCAUCUGGCAUCAAGCCUGACAAUCCACUUCACACUAUGUGAAGGAAAGUUUGUUCCAAACCACAUACUUUCUGGUGCUCAGCACUGGUGUCAAACUGGUUUGAACUGUCCCAAGUCUAAAAUAAAGAUCUCCAUUGUGGUAUGCCA